AAUAGAUUUCUUGAGUUUACCAAGAACAUUUCAUAAAAACUUUAGACGUCCUAUUUUUCCAUCUUAUCAAGUUAGACUUCUGGUCUACUAGAUAUAUUUUAUGAUUAUUAUUAUUCAACAAAUUUCUAUUAAGCUAUUGUGUAUGGGGCUGCGUAUCCUGAAUGAAAAAAAAAAAGAUGAGGAAAACAUGGAGCACAUUCAUAAAACAGAUAUAUGAAAAACUGUGGUAUAUAUGUGUAAUAAGAAUUGUAAUGCAAAAAAAAGUACAUGUAUAAAGUCAUGAAUUGGCGUGAACAUACUCUAUAUACAAAGAGAUGAAAAAAUUGUACUCUAUGUGUAAUAAGAAUUGUAAUGCAUUCCACUGUCAUGUAUUUAAAAAAUAUAAAAAAUCAUUAAAUUAGAAGAGACAUAGACACACAAAAAUAACUGUAAUACCUGGCAGGGAAUGUUAUAUCUGUUUCUGUCCUUGACUUGUUUCUCUUUACUAGUUUGAACUUCCCCACCUGAGUUAUUGUAAAUGCUUCCUAGGAGAGGUCUCUUCUGCUCCUCACACAAUUAUUUCCUAUUCCCAGGAUAAAUUAUCCCUCCUUUCAUCUACCAUGGGGGCACAGCUGAGAUGUCCAGCCAAGCAGGGCUCGGUGUAGGGGACUGUGACUUCCUGUGGCCUGUGAACAUAUUUAAGCCCCACAUGUUUCCUUCUGGCAAUUGUGUGCCCUGGCAUUCGACCUUCCCUCCACCUCUGGGCAGAACAGACACAACUGGGUCCUUCGUGAUCUACAGUUUGUUAUUAAGAGCUGAUUCUGAAAAUAGAAGUAAAACCAGGACUGGGAGAUAAUAUAUGUUUCCCUAAUUUUUCUCCUUCUUGAUCUUUAUAGCACUGAAGUGGAAAAAAAAAUGACAACUGAUAGUGCCUUUGAAUGAGACUCCCAAGAGUUGACUCACUGAAUCCUUCAGGACAGAGUCAAAGGCAAGCAAGCCUUCUGCACCACUUUCUGUUGCAUGACAAAUUAUUACCUACACAUACGUAAUAAAUGCCAAGAAAAGUCCAGUAUCUCAAGAUCUGAAACAAAGUACAGCUACAAUUGCUUUGUGAAGGAUGGACUUAAAGAAAAAAAAAAACAAUAUAGAAGAAAGCCAUUAAUUCCAGGAUGAACAUGUGACUACUUAGAAAAGGAGAUUGAGAGAGCUAGAAAUCAAGCCAGUCCAAGGAUGCUAUAUUCCAUGGUUUUUCAGGAGAUGGGUUUUGCUCCCGAGGCUACAUCAUGAGAAAAAAAAGGAAAGUGAACGUGGCCACAUGAAGACCCUCUGGAAGGAAGAACCCAUCCACUACAUACCCCUUUGGCCCCAGGAAGGCAAAGCAAAAAAAUGCUCACCAUGGAUGCACAAGAGGAUGACUGGGUUACAGAAGAAGACAAUGAGAUUGUUGAUUCACUGCUUUUAUAGAAAGCAGAAGCAAGAUGCUCUUGUCUGGAGAAAGAUGUAGACUCAUCCCUUGAAGUCACCCCUUGCAAACACAUGGACCAUGUAAAGCAUAGUCAAGUAUUCUUGGCAUACCCAGCAAGAGCUUGUAUGUGUAGGUGUGGGGGAGGUGGGCACUGCCAUGGAUCGUCUUGCCUAACAAUAUAAAAACUAGGCAAGAAGGAUGAAGACUGAAUAGAAGAAUGAAACAAAAAUACAAAUAAUUUUGUUCAUGUGGUAAAAUUUUCUUAACCCUUUGUCUUUGUCUCUGUUUUCUGUUGCUAUAACAAAAUAGUGGUGGCUGGGUACUUUAUAAAGAUAAGAGAAUUAUUUAACUCACAGUUUUGGAGGCU